rnacentral:rRNA from 1 species
GAUGAACGCUGGCGGCGUGCCUAAUACAUGCAAGUCGAGCGAACAGAUGAGGAGCUUGCUCCUCUGACGUUAGCGGCGGACGGGUGAGUAACACGUGGAUAACCUACCUAUAAGACUGGGAUAACUUCGGGAAACCGGAGCUAAUACCGGAUAAUAUAUUGAACCGCAUGGUUCAAUAGUGAAAGACGGUUUUGCUGUCACUUAUAGAUGGAUCCGCGCCGCAUUAGCUAGUUGGUAAGGUAACGGCUUACCAAGGCAACGAUGCGUAGCCGACCUGAGAGGGUGAUCGGCCAGACUGGAACUGAGACACGGUCCAGACUCCUACGGGAGGCAGCAGUAGGGAAUCUUCCGCAAUGGGCGAAAGCCUGACGGAGCAACGCCGCGUGAGUGAUGAAGGGCUUCGGAUCGUAAAACUCUGUUAUUAGGGAAGAACAAAUGUGUAAGUAACUAUGCACGUCUUGACGGUACCUAAUCAGAAAGCCACGGCUAACUACGUG